rnacentral:lncRNA from 1 species
CUUUAUCUGGGGUUUGCAGCAUUCUCUCUUUUCUACCAGCUGAUAAAUUCGAAAUCCAGUAUGUAAAACUACAAUAUUAUGCACGUGGAAAGGGUUCUUAUUUUACGUAAAGGGAUACUAUUUCCACAGCUGUGGAAAGCUACUUUUUAUCCCUAUAAAGGACAGAGUGAGAAGGAACAAUACCUCGAGCUGGGCAAAUGCAUACACAAAACAUUUGGGGGAGGAGGGGUGACUGACAUUGCAAAGAAUUCCU